ACGGCGAGUGAGCGGCAAAAGCUCAAAUUUGAAAUCUGGUACCUUUGGUGCCCGAGUUGUAAUUUGAAGAUAGUUUUCUGGUGCUGGCCCUUGUCUAUGUUCCUUGGAACAGGACGUCACAGAGGGUGAGAAUCCCGUCUGGCGGGGUGUCCAGUGCUUUGUAGAUUUCUAUCGACGAGUCGAGUUGUUUGGGAAUGCAGCUCUAAGUGGGUGGUAAAUUCCAUCUAAAGCUAAAUAUUGGCGAGAGACCGAUAGCGAACAAGUACAGUGAUGGAAAGAUGAAAAGAACUUUGAAAAGAGAGUGAAAAAGUACGUGAAAUUGUUGAAAGGGAAGGGUAUUAGAUCAGACUUGGUGUUUUGUGAUUAUCUUCCCUUCUUGGGUUGUGCACUCGCAUUUCACUGGGCCAGCAUCGGUUCGGGUGGUAAGAUAAUGACAUUGGAACGUGGCACUACCUUCGGGUGGUGUGUUAUAGCCCUUGUUGAUGUUGCCUACCUGGACCGAGGACUGCGGCUUUUGCCUAGGAUGCUGGCGUAAUGAUCUAACACCGC
rnacentral:rRNA from 1 species